rnacentral:lncRNA from 1 species
CAAAAUAUCUUUCUCAUCUAAGUAUAAUCUGAGAUUAUCAUUAGAAGCAGAUGUGGAUGCUUGUGAAUUAUUCAUCAGAAUUUAUCAAAGCAUAAGUAUGUAAAAGUAAAUAACUUACAGUAAUCAAAAUAGAAGUAAACAGGCUUUCCCUCCAGUAUGCUCUUAUAGAUGCUUUGCAUGUACUUAAUCAAUCUUCUGAAUCAAGUAAAGAUUUAAAAUGUUUUUUGAAAUCAUUUGGGUCCACAACUGUUUCCGCAAAAGGCUUUUCAAUUAAGGUUGCAUUUCUCAUUCUAGAGAACUAGCCGUGUUACCACAGACGCUAUCUCACAGUAUCCAGAGUCUCUGUUUUCACCUCUAUCCAAAUUCUUUUCAGAAUCAAGUUCUUACUUGGAACGAAAUUUUAAAAGAUAACUCACACACAAAGUGCUACAAUUUUGUUAGAAAACUGCAUUUUUCCCCUAAAUCAUUCAUUAAAGACGGGUACUUUAGCAUGGCUAACAUCCAUUCAAAAUCAAUAUUUUGAAAAUCUUUUAAAAUCUCUAUCUGUACUGCCGAGGAAUCGUAAAAAACUUAACGAAAUCCUUUUAUGAAAACUUUGUUGAACAUAACAAACUUUACUUUGAUAUUCAUAAACUGAAAUAGCACAUGCUUACAAUCUAUAUUUACAUACUUUUGGUACUCACCUUAUGAAAUUUAGAACUCCAUAAGUGAUUACCUGAUUACAAGCUUUGCUAUCUUCAAGCUAUCUAAUAUUUUUCUGAAUACAAGUGGUGUGUACAGAUUACAAAUGAUAUAUUUCUAAGAUGUGUUUCUUCAAAGUGUUUUAGAGAUAAGUUGUUUCGAGAUAUCUUCCUUCUUCCUUCUUGCCUCCUUUUAUAGAAGCCUCUGAGAAUCUUAUCUUGACAGGUGUUUUCCACUUCCUUUUGUUGGGUAGCUCAAUAAUGUUAUCUACACCGAUUUCUCCAUUAUCUUCUUGCUAGGUGGACCUUCUCCUUUUGAAAUUUUAUGCCUUAUCUUUGAAUUUGUCUUCCACUUAUGACAACUGGUGGAUGAGUAGUCACAAUUAUGGAGACUUUUGCACUAUCUUCUGUCUUUUAAUAGCCACAAUUUUUCUUUAAUAAAUUUCUUUAUUAAAGUAGUUAUAAAUGGCCACUUUCGUCACCAUCAUUUUUUCAUUUUUGAAUCAAAGAAUUCUGCAAGGAAUUUUUCACUGUUGAUAGAUGCUUGACUCAUAUCUUCAACUACGCAGUAUUCACAAUGGUGAUCACUGUAGUUACAGAGUAAUUUGCACAGUUCUUUAGCCAUAUCUUCUGAUCCAUGUACUUGGUUGGAGAUAAUUGC